UCCUGGCUCAGGAUGAACGCUAGCGGCAGGCUUAAUACAUGCAAGUCGUGGGGCAGCAUGAGUAGCAAUACUUGAUGGCGACCGGCAAACGGGUGAGGAACACGUACACAACCUUCCUUCAAGCGGGGAAUAGCCCAGAGAAAUUUGGAUUAAUACCCCAUAAUAUAUUUGAUAAGGCAUCUUAUUAAUAUUAAAGCUUCGGCACUUGAUGAUGGGUGUGCGGCUGAUUAGAUAGUUGGCGGGGUAACGGCCCACCAAGUCUACGAUCAGUAGCUGAUGUGAGAGCAUGAUCAGCCACACGGGCACUGAGACACGGGCCCGACUCCUACGGGAGGCAGCAGUAAGGAAUAUUGGACAAUGGACGAAAGUCUGAUCCAGCCAUGCCGCGUGAAGGAUUAAGGUCCUCUGGAUUGUAAACUUCUUUUAUAUGGGACGAAAAAGGGCAUUCUUGUUCACUUGACGGUACCAUAUGAAUAAGCACCGGCUAACUCCGUG
rnacentral:rRNA from 1 species